rnacentral:rRNA from 1 species
UCCGGUGACUAUAGCAUAGGGGAAACACCCGUUCCCAUUUCGAACACGGAAGUUAAGCCUUAUUGCGCCGAUGGUACUGCCUUGGAGACGGGGUGGGAGAGUAGGUCGUUGCCGGGA